CUUCCCGUAAGGGGAACCUGCGGAAGGAUCAUUAGUGAAUAUAGGACGUCCAACUUAACUUGGAGUCCGAACUCUCACUUUCUAACCCUGUGCACUUGUUUGGGAUAGUAACUCUCGCAAGAGAGCGAACUCCUAUUCACUUAUAAACACAAAGUCUAUGAAUGUAUUAAAUUUUAUAACAAAAUAAAACUUUCAACAACGGAUCUCUUGGCUCUCGCAUCGAUGAAGAACGCAGCGAAAUGCGAUAAGUAAUGUGAAUUGCAGAAUUCAGUGAAUCAUCGAAUCUUUGAACGCACCUUGCGCUCCAUGGUAUUCCGUGGAGCAUGCCUGUUUGAGUGUCAUGAAUACUUCAACCCUCCUCUUUCUUAAUGAUUGAAGAGGUGUUUGGUUUCUGAGCGCUGCUGGCCUUUACGGUCUAGCUCGUUCGUAAUGCAUUAGCAUCCGCAAUCGAACUUCGGAUUGACUUGGCGUAAUAGACUAUUCGCUGAGGAAUUCUAGUCUUCGGACUAGAGCCGGGUUGGGUUAAAGGAAGCUUCUAAUCAGAAUGUCUACAUUUUAAGAUUAGAUCUCAAAUCAGGUAGGACUACCCGCUGAACUUAAGCAUAUCAAUAAGCGGAGGAAG
rnacentral:rRNA from 1 species